GCUGAGUGGGGAGGAGAGAGGGACAGAAAGCCUGUUUGCUUUAAAGGAACCAACCGGAGCCACUUACACUCGUGUAAGCGGCUCCUCCCCUCUCCCGCUUUGCUCCUUUAAAGAAGCAGGCUAUCUGUCCCUCUCUCCUCCCCACUCAGC